GGUGAAGAUUUACAACUUGAUAAAUCAGCUUCGUGAGGCUGAGCUCCUUGCUAAUGGGAUAUGGGAUGCUGGUGAUUUCCAGGAAGUGACCUCACAAUGACUCAAGCUACUACAUACUGUUGAUUGUGAAAUGCCAGUUGAAGCAUAUGUCCUGCGAGCUUAGGGGUGCUACAAGUUGACCACUGCAGCAGUAAAGAUGACUCUGAAGAAUGGCAUGGGAUGGAUCCUUUCGAAUGCACUUGAGCAGCGGUCUCCAACCACAGGGCCACAGAGCUGGAGGUGAACAGCAGUGGACAGUCUAGUUGCAGGAAAACUGGAUCUACCAUGAAAGACUUCUGAAUCCAGGAAGAGAGACUGUGGAUCUACCAUGAAAGACUUGUGAAUCCAGGAAGAGAGACUGACUGGGCAACAUGUUAUUCAGUGUCUUUUUGUCACUUCCAGCUGGAUCUACCAUGAAGGACUUCUGAAUCCAGGAAGAGAGACUGACUGGGCAACAUGUUAUUCAGAGAUGGGGUCUCACCCUGUCACGUCUCCCUCUGUUGUCCAAGGCUGGAGGGU
rnacentral:lncRNA from 1 species